rnacentral:rRNA from 1 species
CAGUGGGGAAUCUUGCACAAUGGGGGAAACCCUGAUGCAGCGACGCCGCGUGAGCGAUGAAGCCCUUCGGGGUGUAAAGCUCUUUCGGCAGGGAAGAUAAUGACGGUACCUGCAGAAGCAGCUGCGGCUAACUACGUGCCAGCAGCCGCGGUAAUACGUAGGCAGCAAGCGUUGUUCGGAGUUACUGGGCGUAAAGGGUGYGUAGGCGGUUCUUUAAGUUUGGUGUGAAAUCUCCCGGCUUAACUGGGAGGGUGCGCURWAKACUGAGGGRCUAGAGUGYGGGAGAGGAAAGUGGAAUUCCUGGUGUAGCGGUGAAAUGCGUAGAUAUCAGGAGGAACACCGGUGGUGUARACGGCUUUCUGGACCAUAACUGACGCUGAGGCACGAAAGCGUGGGUAGCAAACAGGAUUAGAUACCCUGGUAGUCCACGCCCUAAACGAUGCAUAUUUGGUGUGGGCCAUUCAUUYKAUCCGUGCCGGAGCUAACGCGUUAAAUAUGCCGCCUGGGGAGUACAGUCGCAAGGCUGAAACUCAAAG